CUGCAGGUCGACGAUUAUUAGGUUGUUGUUGGGGUAACGGCCCAACAAGCCAGUAAUCGGUACGGGUUGUGGGAGCAAGAGCCCGGAGUUGGAUUCUGAGACACGAAUCCAGGCCCUACGGGGCGCAGCAGGCGCGAAAACUUUACAAUGCGGGCAACCGUGAUAAGGGAACCUCGAGUGCCUGUAUAUGCAGACUGUCCAGGUGUCUAAAACACACCUGAAGAAAGGGCCGGGCAAGACCGGUGCCAGCCGCCGCGGUAAUACCGGCGGCUCGAGUGGUGGCCACUUUUAUUGGGCUUAAAGCGUUCGUAGCUGGGUUGUUAAGUCUCUUGGGAAAUCCGGCAGCUUAACUGUCGGGCGUCUAAGAGAUACUGGCAAUCUUGGAACCGGGAGAGGUGAGGGGUACUUCGGGGGUAGGAGUGAAAUCCUGUAAUCCUCGAGGGACCACCUGUGGCGAAGGCGCCUCACCAGAACGGCUUCGACAGUGAGGGACGAAAGCUGGGGGAGCAAACCGGAUUAGAUACCCGGGUAGUCCCAGCCGUAAACGAUGCGCGUUAGGUGUAUCGGUGACCACGAGUCACCGAGGUGCCGAAGGGAAACCGUGAAACGUGCCGCCUGGGAAGUACGGUCGCAAGGCUGAAACUUAAAGGAAUUGGCGGGAAUC
rnacentral:rRNA from 1 species